UUGAUUCAUUUAUAGUUGUUUACUCAGAAGAUACACUGUAAAAACAAAGAGUUUAUAGGGCCACCGGCCGACCUGCUCCUUUCCCCGAAGAGAAAGGGACCUCCAGAAGAGGCCAGUCAAUGCCGAGGCAACAAUGAGAAUAAUUCACAAAGGGUUUCUGGGUAGCACCCGUGAGGGCGUUUGUUCCAGCAAUGAUCCCUCCGCUGGUUCACCAACGGAGA
rnacentral:misc_RNA from 1 species